AUGGGCCUGCUGCAGCUCUCCAGAGCUCCUUGUUCCCUUGGGGCAAAGGUGCUUAAGACCAAACCUAAAACUGAAAAGGAGAGGAAAUCCUAACAUAAAUAUCACCUCCCAAUUACAGUUCCUUUUCCUUUCCCUACUUCUUUCUCAUAAGCACAUGCAUAUUCGCUUAAAGCAGUCUUCCAUUCCAGAAGUGAAGGCAUUCUUAAGAAAGGAAAGUCUGAAAAUUCAACAUUUGGUUACCUUUGCCCUGAUUGCUGUGUUAGUCCUGAAAUCAGCCUCCUUCUGGCUUUGGGUGUUCUGUAACUCUGACAUGGACCAGGAACAGAAGAAUCUUGAAAUGAAUCAGACUCUUAAGGAAACCUCUACUCAAAGAAAACUUUAAAGAAUCCAGCCCCCAAAGUGUUUGCCCUGGAAGCCCUCCCCAGACCCCUGGAAGAAGACCACUCUCUCACUCUGAAUGAUGUCCUAUUUGAGUUUGGUAACGCAGAGCCAAGAUUUGAACAGCCAGGGCCAUCCAGAGAGGCGGUGUGGAGCUGGGAAUAGACCAACAGAUGCAGAUGGGGGAGACUUAGAACUCAGACUAACUCCAUGUCCCUGCGCAUGUGGCCUUUGGGAUUGAGUUGUCCAAAACUAAGACACUCUUGAAUUAGAAUCGUCCACACGGAAAACCAAUGCAAGCAUCACCGCAAAGAAGAAAACUCAACCAUGCAGAAACACAGAAAAGACAGUCCUGAAAAGACCAGCUUUGAUUGCUAAAGAUGUGGUGAAACUGUUACAAGGUGCUAGUUUCCAAAAGGCUCCUGUUACCACCACCUCCACCCCUUCUGGACUUCUGCAGGCUCCAGAAAAUGCCAUGAAGGGAUUUGGUUUUGUGACUCUUUGGAGCAUAGAACUCAUUCUUUCAUGGCUUCUCCCAAACGGCCACGUUCCAGCUCUCUGUUCAGUAUAGCAACUUUAAAUGAAAAGAGAAAAACAUUAAACCCCCAACGGAUUAUUUCAAUUUGGGGUUUCUCAGCCUCAGGACUAUUGACGCAUGGGAAUAGAUCAUUCUUAGUCGUGGGCUCUGUCCUUGCAAUGAAGAGUCAUUAGCAUCCCUGGCUUCUGCCCACGAGAUUCCAGUAGCACCCCCAGUUGUGAUGACUAAAAAUGUCUCCAGACAUUAUCAAAGUCACCCUGGGCAAAGAAUCACUCCCUGUUGAAAACCACUGAGAAGACACUUCUUUGCUUUUUUUUGUUUGUUUGUUUCUCUUAAUGAUCUGGAAGACAUUAAAAGUAUCACAUGCUUUAGCCAUUGUUCAGGAGACAGAUUUUGGAUUCUUUAUAGCUUUCAUGUGAUCCCUCUGUUAGGAUAAUCGAUCAAUAGUUAAAUUCUUUCCUUGUUAGAGAAUGUUAAGGUUGUUUUUAUUUGCAGACUUUGAGAAAAGAUGCUGUGACCAAAGACCAUGCAGUGGCCAUAUAUGGGCCACAGGACAUUCGGUUAAAUUAGCAUUUAAGAUCAUUUUAAAUAGGGGCGCCUGGGUGGCUCAGUCAUUAAGUGUCUGCCUUUAGCUCAGGGCAUGAUCCCGGUGGUCUGGG